GGAGACGGUUUUUCAUUCCAAGGCUUUUUAACGUCAGUGCCCAGCGUGUCUAUGCUGAGUUCUCAGCUGAAGUGUCUCAUGUUGGUUGAAUGCAGAUCUGAUUUGUAUCUACUGUGAUCAGCACUCACUUACGACCUUCCAGACCCAGGACCCCCGAGGAACCAGGCUCCGCACACAAGAAGGCGGUUGUAACUUCCGAUUCCUUGGUGGAGGAAAACAAAACACUCUGGUCUUGCUUCCCAUGAUGCAA
rnacentral:lncRNA from 1 species